rnacentral:rRNA from 1 species
CCUACGGGAGGCUGCAGUGAGGAAUAUUGGUCAAUGGACGAGAGUCUGAACCAGCCAAGUAGCGUGAAGGAUGACUGCACUAUGGGUUGUAAACUUCUUUUGUAUGGGAAUAAAAUGUUCCACGUGUGGGAUUUUGUAUGUACCAUAUGAAUAAGGAUCGGCUAACUCCGUGCCAGCAGCCGCGGUAAUACGGAGGAUCCGAGCGUUAUCCGGAUUUAUUGGGUUUAAAGGGAGCGUAGGUGGAUUGUUAAGUCAGUUGUGAAAGUUUGCGGCUCAACCGUAAAAUUGCAGGUUAAACUGGCAGUUUUGUGUACAGUAGAGGUGGGCGGAAUUCGUGGUGGAGCGGGUGAAUGCUUAGAUAUUACGAAGAACUCCGAUUGGGAAGGCAGUUCACUGGACUGCAACUGACACUGAGGCUCGAAAGUGUGGGUAUCAAACAGGAUUAGAUACCCUAGUAGUC